AAAGUCCUGGCUUAAUUAAAGCGUCUGGGUUGCAUUCAGAAGAUGCAGGUUAAUGUCCUGCGGAUUUUA
rnacentral:tRNA from 1 species